AUUGAACGCUGGCGGAAUGCUUUACACAUGCAAGUCGAACGGCAGCACGGACUUCGGUCUGGUGGCGAGUGGCGAACGGGUGAGUAAUGUAUCGGAACGUGCCCAGUCGUGGGGGAUAACGUAGUGAAAAUUACGCUAAUACCGCAUACGAUCUAUGGAUGAAAGCGGGGGAUCGCAAGACCUCGCGCGAUUGGAGCGGCCGAUAUCAGAUUAGGUAGUUGGUGGGGUAAAGGCCCACCAAGCCAACGAUCUGUACCUGGUCUGAGAGGACGACCAGCCACACUGGAACUGAGACACGGUCCAGACUCCUACGGGAGGCAGCAGUGGGGAAUUUUGGACAAUGGGCGAAAGCCUGAUCCAGCCAUUCCGCGUGCAGGAUGAAGGCCCUCGGGUUGUAAACUGCUUUUGUAUAGAACGAAAAGGUUUCUACUAAUACUAGGAGCUCAUGACGGUACUGUAAGAAUAAGCACCGACUAACUACGUGCCAGCCGCCGCUGUAA
rnacentral:rRNA from 1 species